rnacentral:rRNA from 1 species
GACGAACGCUGGCGGCGCGCUUAACACAUGCAAGUCGAGCGAUGAAAUUUCGACAGAACCCUUCGGGGUGAAGAUGAAAUGGAUUAGCGGCGGACGGGUGAGUAACACGUGAGUAACCUGCCUUAGACAUUGGGAUAGCCUCGGGAAACCGGGAUUAAUACCAAAUGAAAUCACAUAUGCACAUGCAUAAAUGAUCAAAGCUCCGGCGGUCUAAGAUGGACUCGCGCCCCAUUAGCUAGUUGGUGAGGUAACGGCCCACCAAGGCGACGAUGGGUAGCCGGCCUGAGAGGGUGAACGGCCACAUUGGAACUGAGAAACGGUCCAAACUCCUACGGGAGGCAGCAGUGGGGAAUAUUGCACAAUGGAGGGAACUCUGAUGCAGCGACGCCGCGUGAACGAAGAAGGCUUUCGAGUCGUAAAGUUCUUUUAUAUGGGAAGAUAAUGACGGUACCAUAAGAAAAAGCCCCGGCUAACUACGUGCCAGCAGCCGCGGUAAUACGUAGGGGGCUAGCGUUGUCCGGAAUCACUGGGCGUAAAGGGUUCGCAGGCGGAAAUGUAAGUCAGGUGUAAAAGGCAGUAGCUUAACUACUGUAAGCAUUUGAAACUGCAUAUCUUGAGAAGAGUAGAGGUAAGUGGAAUUUUUAGUGUAGCGGUGAAAUGCGUAGAUAUUAAAAAGAAUACCGGUGGCGAAGGCGACUUACUGGGCUCAUUCUGACGCUGAGGAACGAAAGCGUGGGUAGCAAACAGG